AUAAGACAAUAAAGACUCAUCUACACGGUUCAUCUUUGAAUCAACACUCCUACGGCUAAGCAAACGGAACCAUAAGCGACAACAAUACCGAAGAAAAGGAGGUGUCAGUUCCCAGAACUUGGUGAGCACUCUCUCGCCGACGAACUCUGGAGACUGAGGAAGGAACAUCGGAGAGGCGAAGAGAAACAUAGCGAAUAGGAUAGAUUUACAGAAGAAUCUUUCUUUCGACUGAGAAGUGAGGCAUCCCGGAGGUAGAGAUUUUUCUUUUGAGAGAUUGAGAAUGGGGAAGAGAAACACGUGCUAGGNNNNNNNNNNNNNNNNNNNNNNNNNNNNNNNNNNNNNNNNNNNNNNNNNNNNNNNNNNNNNNNNNNNNNNNNNNNNNNNNNNNNNNNNNNNNNNNNNNNNNNNNNNNNNNNNNNNNNNNNNNNNNNNNNNNNNNNNNNNNNNNNNNNNNNNNNNNNNNNNNNNNNNNNNNNNNNNNNNNNNNNNNNNNNNNNNNNNNNNNNNNNNNNNNNNNNNNNNNNNNNNNNNNNNNNNNNNNNNNNNNNNNNNNNNNNNNNNNNNNNNNNNNNNNNNNNNNNAGUGCGAACAUAAUUUUUCAAUGUUCCACUCACUAGGAUUCUUUAAUUCUCCCCCUCGAGAUGAUGACACUCCAUGUCUAAAAUCUCGUACUGAAUCCCACUCUAGAACCAAUAACAUAUUCAGUUUUUCCAUUUGGGAUGAAUUAUGUUUCAAAUCCUUUAGAGUGAGAUCUUAAUUUGGGGUCUGCUUAAAGAAAUUACAUAUUAUGAACUUGUUUGAUGAUUCAACACCCAUGAUGGUUUCCUUUAUUUUUUUGACAUGUUAUAUGUGAAAAAUUUCUGGUUUUUCAACAUUUCACAAUAAUGUGGAUAACAUUAUUAGAGAUGACUAUAUAUCAGUAAACUUCAGGUUUACUACUCAUUUAUACUUUUGCCAUCUUUUUCUUAUGCAUGUCUUUUCAUCAUAAGCUCCUCUAGAGCCAAUAAUAAUUUUUAUAGUAAUAGAUAUUAUACUUACUUAUUUUGAGAGAGGAGAAAUAUUUGUUACCUUUAGUAGUCAUGUACGAUGACCCAAUAUCUGCCAGGUAUAUCUAUCUCCAUCCUGAAUCUCAAAAUCUUAUUCAGGAAGAUAAUUCUCAUAUCACAUCGAUAUUUUAUUUUCAUUUUCUGGACCAACCAGAAAAUCUGAAUCAUCAAGAUGAGUAUUCAAGCUAUGAAAAGAUGGUCCGGGCUCAUAAGAGAUGAAGUUUAUUUCACUUCCUUUCUCUUUUUCUUUUUGAAUCUCGAUAUAGAUCGGCUAAAUAUUUGGCGUACGAAAACUACGUACCCAAUUUUCUUUCUGGCCGUAUCUAUAGCAAACAUUUUCUGUUUGACUUUUAUCACCCGACCACUUUCAUUUUUCGUGGAAGUUUCCAUUAUUCUCAUAGGGAUGGAAUCUUCUUCCUCGUCCUCUUCCACGACCACGAUAGCAGUUUCAACCGCAUCCACACCCUUGUCCUUUUCAAGAAGGACCGAUUUGAUGGUUUAGUAUCAUGAGUUUCUUUUCUUUUUCAAUUCUCAUGGAGGAUUUACAUCAACUCCAACAAUUUGGUGAUUCCUUUCUUUCAAGGAUUUGAUUAUUCAAAGAUAUUCUAGAUCUUUCUCAUUAUACACCCCAUCUUAUAAACCAUCAUUAAAGUGGUGUAAAUUAUCAUGGCUUUAUCUUUUUCUCAUCCGAUAUAGUUUCAACUUAUCGAUGAUUUCUCAAAGCUCAUUUUUUCUCAGGUGCAUCUUUGCACCCACUGCCCAGGUCAUAUAACUAUUUCCCGUAAUAUCAAGGACAUUUAUUUUGAGUUUUGUCAAAUUUGAUAUGAUAACCGAAUUCAUAGAAUAAUAAUAUAUAAAGACGGAAAUUGAAAUGCAGAAACUAAAGGCAUAAAUUUAAAUUGUAGAAAUUUAAAGAGCAUAAAUAAAAUUGGAGGCUUAGCCUACCACAUGAUCCGAGGAGUCUUAGACUACCAAAUUGAUCAUUUUACAAAGUCCGAGGAGACAUGGUUUACCAUUUUGACUUUUACUUAUUUCAAGGUCCGAGGAGACUUAGUCUGCCAUUUUUGACCUUUAUUUUUUUUAUUCACGGAGGCAACGCCUACUACGUGUUUCUCUGAUCGUGAAGGCAUAGCCUACCAUAACGAUCAGUCGGGAAAGGCAACGCCUAUCAUCCCGAAAAUAAACGGAGAAGGCCUAGCCUCUCACUCCGGAACAAUAAUAAAAUUUAAAUAAAUUAAGUAUAUUGAAACACAUAAAUUUAAACAUUACCUCGACUGGUUUAAGAAUUUUCGGAUUGAUAAACCUCAGUUGGUCAGAGCUUCGUGCUGAUAACGUGUUGUAAAAAAUAAGUAAGGAUCUGAUGUUCUUCUUCUUUCUUUAUAUAUAUCGGUUGAUCGGUGGAGAGAGAGGGAUAUAAGAUGCUGACUUUUAUAAUAUAUGUAUUACGUAAGAGAGAGUUAAAGGAUGAGUCUUUUUCUUCUUAUUAACAUAACUUUUAUAAAUGAACAUGAGAGCAAUAUAUAUAAGGGAAGAAGUCGGCUAGAUUGACCGACUUAAUACAAAAAGACAAAACAAGAUAUUUUGCUUAAUGGAUAAUCAUUAUCCAAAGUUAGUCUUAUCUCAUAAUACUAAUGGUAUUAUUUCGAACUACUAUGUGUAUUUUUGAUUACUAGAACUACUAAGACUUUUAUGUGUAUUUUGGACUACUAGCACUAUUAGGACUAUUUUGGAUUACCUCGAACUACCUUGAACUAAUAUGUAUUAUGCAUAUUUAAAAAAAAAUUAUAAUUUGGGCUUAUUAUAUAUUUUUGGCAGUUACAACUUAUAUAAAUUGAAAUUAUAUGUCCAUAUAUGUAUUUAGAUACCAAAUUAGUCAUGAAUUUUUUAAUAUUCUUAAGUUGUUAGAAAACUUAUCAUUUCCACAAAAAACUUCCUUAUACUUCCAUACCUAAUGUCUUGAUGGUAAAGUCAUAAUAAGGUGAAUCACACAAAUUACAUAUUUUCAGAAUUUUGUUUUUACAAAAGUGUUAUAUACGAUCUAAAAUUGUUUAUAUACAUUGGUUUCAAUAGAAAUAUUUUUUUAAUUUUUCAUAUGGUAUUACUAAUAAAUAUUGAAAGUUUCGAAAGUAUUACUAUGAACAAGAUAAUAUUACUACUAUCUUGAGUAUUACUAAGUGUAAAUGUAAUAUUUAAAAAUUAUUUUUCAAACAUGUGUUAAAUAUGUUCUACAUGUUUUAGGUGUUUUAUUCAUCUUAGUAUAUAACUGAUUUUCAUUUUAAAUUAUUGAAUUUCUAAUAAUCUUUUAAGUUUUAGACAUUAUUUUUUAAAAAAUAGUUUUCUUAAUAAUAACUGAAAAAACUCAGUUAUCCAAAUAUUUUUUUUGUACAUAUUAAUACCCAAUAUUCUAAACCAAGAGGUUCUAAAUAGCAAACAUCAAACAUCCAAAUUUUUAGUUACGCUUAGACAAAUUCUUUUCUUUUGGCAUCCAAUAUUUUUGUCACACAUUUAGACAAGUACAAAACAAUAAAUUUUUAAUUGAUCUAGGUUUAACCCUUUUCUUUUUUCAAAAAAAAACAAAACAAUAAAUCUUGCUUUUUCCCUUUUCCAUCAACUCCUUUUUUUCUCUUUUGAUUUUUCUUCAGUUUUUAUAUCUUAGACUGGACGUGGAACCAUUCCUUCAUGUACCCGUCAAGCAAGCAAAAAUUCCUGUGUAAAAGAAGAGAAGCCAUUUGUGAUAAAGAAUUUAUUAUUAGGCUUGUAAAAAAUCUUGACAAAACUGAUCAUGGCAAAAAAAGAAACAAGCCGAGAAACAUGUUAACAAAAUCAAACUAGUGAUGUUAUGAAUGACUACCACAGCCAAUUCUUUUGGACACUGAAACAUUUAAAGCCUUUCUUCUCAAAACGAGAGAUGAUUUAAACGGAUUGGUGCUACUGGGCUUUUUAUUCGGAUUUUUAUUUGGGCUUAGAGUGAGUGGAAUUGUGUAUAUGGCCUAUUGUGUUAUGAGAUAUUGUUGGUGGUCCGAUGUGUGUCACAGAAACAAUAAAGAGUUUAAGCAAAGAAAGAUAGCUCACUGGCUGCAAAUCACAUUCAAAGCUUUUUAGAGUUCAGAGGUUACUUUACAUCAAAGAAGCAAAAGCGUGAAACAAAAGAGAAGAAAACAGCUUACAAGACAUCGUUUUAUGCCGUCUGGUUUCACCAUGAUGUAAGUCUUCUCAACUUGCUCCAAAAGAGAAAACACAAGCAUCAAAUCAAAAGUUCAGUAGAUUUGCACCGAAGGGGAUGAAUGUGCAAAUCAUAGAAGCAACAAGCUGUGUUAUCUCACAAACCGGACAUUAAAUUCCUAACCGGCAAGCCUAAUGGUUGGUGCACAACAUGGCCAUCAAGAUAAGCUGGUCGAGCAACCACAACCUUAUAUUUCUUUUGAAAAUGAGUUCCAAGCUUGCACUUGAUUCAGCGACAGAUUCGCUCUCAUUAAUUCACUAGAGAUACUCCGCACUCACAUGAAUCAAAUGACUCUCAUCACUCCUAAAAUUACAAGAAUCCUCGUAGAAACAGAGUAAACCUGGAAGAUCCUAGAUACAUAAGACAAUAAAGACUCAUCUACACGGUUCAUCUUUGAAUCAACACUCCUACGGCUAAGCAAACGGAACCAUCAGCGACAACAAUACCGAAGAAAAGGAGGUGUCAGUUCCCAGAACUUGGUGAGCACUCUCUCGCCGACGAACUCUGGAGACCGAGGAAGGAACAUCGGAGAGGCGAAGAGAAACAUAGCGAAUAGGAUAGAUUUACAGAAGAAUCUUUCUUUCGACUGAGAAGUGAGGCAUCCCGGAGGUAGAGAUUUUUCUUUUGAGAGAUUGAGAAUGGGGAAGAGAAACACGUGCUAGGGUUGGGAAAGAGAAGAAAACAGCUUACAAGACAUCGUUUUAUGCCGUCUGGUUUCACCAUGAUGUAAGUCUUCUCAACUUGCUCCAAAAGAGAAAACACAAGCAUCAAAUCAAAAGUUCAGUAGAUUUGCACCGAAGGGGAUGAAUGUGCAAAUCAUAGAAGCAACAAGCUGUGUUAUCUCACAAACCGGACAUUAAAUUCCUAACCGGCAAGCCUAAUGGUUGGUGCACAACAUGGCCAUCAAGAUAAGCUGGUCGAGCAACCACAACCUUAUAUUUCUUUUGAAAAUGAGUUCCAAGCUUGCACUUGAUUCAGCGACAGAUUCGCUCUCAUUAAUUCACUAGAGAUACUCCGCACUCACAUGAAUCAAAUGACUCUCAUCACUCCUAAAAUUACAAGAAUCCUCGUAGAAACAGAGUAAACCUGGAAGAUCCUAGAUACAUAAGACAAUAAAGACUCAUCUACACGGUUCAUCUUUGAAUCAACACUCCUACGGCUAAGCAAACGGAACCAUAAGCGACAACAAUACCGAAGAAAAGGAGGUGUCAGUUCCCAGAACUUGGUGAGCACUCUCUCGCCGACGAACUCUGGAGACUGAGGAAGGAACAUCGGAGAGGCGAAGAGAAACAUAGCGAAUAGGAUAGAUUUACAGAAGAAUCUUUCUUUCGACUGAGAAGUGAG
rnacentral:lncRNA from 1 species